rnacentral:rRNA from 1 species
AGAGUUUGAUUCUGGCUCAGAACGAACGCUGGCAGCGUGGAUUAGGCAUGCAAGUCGAACGUGAAUCCGGUGAUCAAUCUUUCGGGAAAGUGAUCCGGUGGAAAGUGGCGGAAGGGUGAGUAACGCGUGGGUAAUCUGCCUCCGAGUUGGGGAUAACCAUUCGAAAGGAUGGCUAAUACCGAAUACGGUGGCGUCGUGCGAACGACAUUGACUAAAGGUGGGGAUCCUUCGGGACCUGCCGCUUGGAGAGGGGCCCGCGUCCGAUCAGCUUGUUGGUGAGGUAAUGGCUCACCAAGGCUACGACCGGUAGCUGGUCUGAGAGGAUGGUCAGCCACACUGGGACUGAGACACUGCCCAGACUCCUACGGGAGGCUGCAGUCGAGGAUCAUUGGCAAUGCGCGAAAGCGUGACCAUGCGACGCUGCGUGGGGGAUGAAGGCCUUCGGGUUGUAAACCCCUGUCAUCAGGGAAAAAUCACCCGGCCGUGAAUAUCGGUUGUUUUGAUGGUACCUGAAGAGGAAGCCACGGCUAACUCUGUGCCAGCAGCCGCGGUAAUACAGAGGUGGCGAGCGUUGUUCGGAUUUACUGGGCGUAAAGGGUGCGUAGGUGGCACCGUGUGUCGGAUGUGAAAUCCCGUUGCUCAACGGCGGAACUGCAUUCGAAACUGCGGAGCUAGAGUACAGGAGGGGAGAGCGGAAUUCUUGGUGUAGCGGUGAAAUGUGUUGAUAUCAAGAAGAACACCGGUGGCGAAGGCGGCUCUCUAGAAUGUUACUGACACUGAGGCACGAAAGCUGGGGGAGCAAACAGGAUUAGAUACCCUGGUAGUCCCAGCCGUAAACGGUGUGCACUUGGUGUUGGCGGUAUUGAUCCCGCCAGUGCCGGAGCUAACGCGUUAAGUGCACCGCCUGGGGAGUACGGCCGCAAGGCUAAAACUCAAAGAAAUUGACGGGGGCCCGCACAAGCGGAGGAGCAUGUGGCUUAAUUCGAUGCAACGCGAAGAACCUUACCAGGGCUUGACAUGUAACUGCUGUCCCCCUGAAAGGGGGGAGUCCUUCGAGGGUGUUACACAGGUGCUGCAUGGCUGUCGUCAGUUCGUGCCGUGAGGUGUUGGGUUAAGUCCCGCAACGAACGCAACCCCUAUGGUUAGUUGCCCCCAUCGGUGAUGAGCCGAUGAGCACUCUAGCCAGACUGCCCGUACAAGCGGGAGGAAGGUGGGGACGACGUCAAGUCAGUAUGGCCCUUACGCCCUGGGCUGCACACGUGCUACAAUGGUCGGUACAAUGGGAAGCAAUACCGCGAGGUGGAGCAAAUCCCCAAAGCCGGCCCCAGUUCGGAUUGGAGUCUGCAACUCGACUCCAUGAAGUCGGAUUCGCUAGUAACGGCGCAUCAGCUACGGCGCCGUGAAUACGUUCCCGGGCCUUGUACACACCGCCCGUCACAUCAUGAAAGCCGUCCGCACCCGAAGUCGCUGGGCCAACCCGCAAGGGAGGCAGGUGCCGAAGGUGUGGGUGGUGAUUGGGAUGAAG